rnacentral:rRNA from 1 species
UACGAGGGGAGCAAGCGUUGUUCGGAUUUACUGGGCGUAAAGGGCGCGUAGGCGGUCGUGACAAGUCACUUGUGAAAUCUCCGGGCUUAACUCGGAACGGUCAAGUGAUACUGUCGGACUAGAGUACAGAAGGGGGCAACUGGAAUUCUCGGUGUAGCGGUGAAAUGCGUAGAUAUCGAGAGGAACACCUGGCGGCGAAGGCGGGUUGCUGGGCUGAUACUG